UUUCCCCGCGUGCUGGGGCCGGACGGACCCCGCUCCGCCCGUGUCCCCCUGCCCCGAACUCGGGGCUUCCUUCCCGUCCGGACACCAGGUCAACCCGGAGCCUGCCCCCGCCAGAGAACUCCCCCAGGCCAGCCUGCGAAGCCGCGGCCACUGAUCGGGCCCCUUGGAAGUCUUUUUUAAAAAAAUUCCCCGACCCCCAGAACGGGUUCUGGGGGGCAUCCGGACCACGCUCCGGCCAAAAAAGGAAAAAAAAAAAAAAAAAAAAAAAGGAUCGGGGCCACCCGAGGCAGGGGAGUCACCAGGUCAACCCGGAGCUUCCCUCGCGGGCUGGGGACGGACGGACACCGCUCCGCCCGCUUCUCCCUGCCUCGAGCUCGGGGCUUCUUUCCCGUCCGGACACCAGGUCAACCCGGAGCUUUCCCCGCGUGCUGGGGCCGGACGGACCCCGCUCCGCCCGUGUCCCCCUGCCCCGAACUCGGGGCUUCCUUCCCGUCCGGACACCAGGUCAACCCGGAGCCUGCCCCCGCCAGAGAACUCCCCCAGGCCAGCCUGCGAAGCCGCGGCCACUGAUCGGGCCCCUUGGAAGUCUUUUUUAAAAAAAUUCCCCGACCCCCAGAACGGGUUCUGGGGGGCAUCCGGACCACGCUCCGGCCAAAAAAGGAAAAAAAAAAAAAAGCGGAAAAAAGGAUCGGGGCCACCCGAGGCAGGGGAGUCACCAGGUCAACCCGGAGCUUCCCCCGCGGGCUGGGGACGGACGGACCCCGCUCCGCCCGUGUCUCCCUGCCUCGAGCUCGGGGCUUCCUUCCCGUCCGGACACCAGGUCAACCCGGAGCUUCCCCCGCGGGCUGGGGAAGGACGGACCCCGCUCCGCCCGGGUCUCCCUGCCUCGAGCUCGGGGCUUCCUUCCCGUCCGGACACCAGGUCAACCCGGAGCUUUUCCCGCCUGCUGGGGCCGGACGGACCCCGCUCCGCCCGGGUCCCCCUUCCCCGAACUCGGGUCUUCUUUCCCGUCCGGACACCAGGUCAACCCGGAGCCUGCCCCCGCCAUACAAGUCCCCCAGGCCACCCUGCGAUGCCGUGGGCAGGGAUCGAGACCCUGGAAGUCUGAAAAAAAAAUUCACCGACCGCAAAAGGGGUUCUGGGGUGCAUCCAGACCACUUUCCGCACAAAAAAAAAAAAAAAAAAACGGAAAAAAGGAUCGGGCCCACCCGAGGCAGGGCACUCACCGGGUCAAACC